GAUGUUGAAUCAUCUCAGCAACACUGAUUUGGGAGAAAUAUUGAACGAUGAUGGAAGAUUCGAGGAAGUUGUCAAUGACAUAAAACAGAUAUGCGACUUACUUACUUUUCGUGAGGUUUUCUAAUUUAAAGAGUUGGAAUCUGAAAAGGAAGUUCUGAUCGCUGGAAAUCGUUCUCUGGCCGAAGUCAAUCUAGAAAAGCAACUCCAACUCGAGGAGAAUAAAAAAGCAUUACAUGAACUGUCUGAAAGAAAGGCUGUGAGCUGCUGUGGAAAUUGAAGAAGAAUCGGAAAAAAUAGCUGAGAAAUUCUUAUCGGGAGAUACAGAAGUCGAUGAAUUCCUGGAACAAUUCUUGACCCGAAGAAAGAUAAUGC